UGCAACUCAUGUUCCACUUGAUGC
rnacentral:siRNA from 1 species